UUCGAUCCUGGCUCAGAUUGAACGCUGGCGGGAUGCUUGCAUACCAGGGGUGAACGGCAGCACGGACUUCGGUCUGGUGGCGAGUGGCGAGCGGGUGAGUAAUGUAUCGGAACGUGCCUAGUAGCGGGGAUAACUACGCGAAAGCGUAGCUAAUACCGCAUACGCCCUUCGGGGAAAGCGGGGACCUUCGGGCCUCGCACUAGAGCGGCCGAUAUCGGAUUAGCUAAUUGGUGGAGUAACGGCUGCAGGCGACGAUCCGUAGCUGGUUUGAGAGGACGACCAGCCACACUGGGACACGGAACACGGCCCAGACUCCUACCACGGGAGGCAGCAGUGGGGAAUUUUGGACAAUGGGGAAACCUGAUCCAGCCAUCCCGCGUGGUGCGAUGAAGGCCUUCGGGUUGUAAAGCACUUUUGGCAGGAAAGAAACGGCACGGGAUAAUACCCGUGCAACUGACGGUACCUGCAGAAUAAGCACCGGCUAACUACGUGCCAGCAGCCGCGGUAAUACGUAAGUGCAAGCGUUAAUCAGAUACUGGAACGUAAAGCGUGCGCAGGCGGUUCGGAAAGAAAGAUGUGAAAUCCAGAGCUUAACUUUGGAACUGCAUUUUUAACUACCGAGCUAGAGUGUGUCAGAGGGAGGUGGAAUUCACGUGUAGCAGUGAAAUGCGUAGAUAUGCGGAGGAACACCGAUGGCGAAGGCAGCCUCCUGGGAUAACGCUGUGCUCAUGCACACGGCGAUGAGGAGCAAACGGGAUUAGAUGCCCUGGCGGUCCGCCUAAACGAUGUCAACUAGCGCAAUUGGAACCUUCAGGCCUUGGUAACAUGCGCGUGAAAGUUGACCGCGAUGCAGUCGCAAGGUCAAAACUCAAAAGGAAUUGACGGGGACCCGCACAAGCGGUGGAUGAUGUGGAUUAAUUCGAUGCAACGCGAAAACCUUACCCUACCGCCGAGCAUGUCUGGAAUCCCGAAGAGAUUUGGGAGUGCCGCAAGAGAACGGAACACAGGUGCCAUGGCGCAAUGGCGACUCGUGUCGUGAGAUGUUGGGUUGAUCCCGCAACGAGCUGUACUUGUCAUUGAAUUUGCGAGGGCACUAAUGAGACUGCCAGUGACAAACCGGAGGAAGGUGGGGAUGACAUUGAGUCCUCAUGGCCCUUAUGGGUAGGGCUUCACACGUCAUACGUGGUCGAGACGGAGGGUCGCCAACCCGCGAGGAGCCAAUCCAGAAACCCGAUCGUAGUCCGGAUCGCAGUCUGCAACUCGACUGCGUGAAGUCGGAAUCACUAGUAAUCGCGGAUCAGCAUGUCGCGGUGAAUACGUUCCGGGUCUUGUACACACCGCCCGUCACACCAUGGGAGUGGGUUUUACCAGAGUAGUUAGCCUAACCGUAAGGAGGGCGAUUACCACGGUAGGAUUCAUGACUGGGGUGAAGUCGUAACAAAAGGCCAA
rnacentral:rRNA from 1 species